rnacentral:lncRNA from 1 species
GCACUCCUAGCCCAGGCUGCAACUCCCCGAAGCCUCCGGGACUCGGCGGUGGGCGUGGCGGGCGGUCGCCGUGGUCACCACGGCUUUUCUCAGAGGUUUUAACGCCCCUAGACUUCAUUUCCCGACAGGGACUGCGGGUCUGGAUAUUCCGUCGUGGACUACGUUUCCCACUGACGACGGAGAAAACUUGGUCCUUUGGCUCCGCGCUGCGCGUGACCUGCAGUCACCUGAGCAAGAGGGCGGCGUGGGUCGCUGCGGGAGCCCCUACAGCCCCAGCCCGCAGCCCACGUGGCACCCUACAGGGCUGUGAGAGUGGGGCUGCUGGAGGCGUUCAGAGCGCGGAGGCCCCAGGCGCGGGCCGGGCUCUCUCCCGCCUCCUCAGGCCCGGGGGUGCUGGAGCUGCCGAGCUCUGGCUUUCUGGAUCUGUGCUUCUCUGGUAGAGGAACCCUGAGGACUGAUCUACUCUUGCAGUUCUAAAACCAUGGCCCAUGACAUGACUUUUCUAAGCCAGAUGUAAUUACAUCAUUGGAGCAAGGAAAAGAGCCCUGGAUGAUUGUAAGGGAAGAAAAAGGAAGAUGGUGUACAGGUAAAAAUAAGUCUGACUGUGGGAAGCCAUCUGUGUAAAUAACAACCUGUGUGGUCAGGGAAGAGACAUACACUUGGGAUGUUAGUUGGAAAUCUCCAUUCACAGCAGAGAAAAGGUGUGUGAUUUAUAAGGAAGAUAAAUACUCUGCAUAAGCUACCCAGUGAGCUUCACCUUCACCUUAACAUUCCUGGAUGGGAACUUGCUAUCCUUGAAGUGACAAAAGAACAAAUGCCAUCCCUCCAAGAUCUGGUGUCUGGUCUACCUGCACGUCCAGGAGUCCCAGCCAAACCCCGGCUCUUCUUUUCACUUUUCUUGCUUUUACCUUCUUCUUGCUCAUCAAUUUUUACGAUGUCUUCCUUAGGUUCUUCUGUAGUCACCUCUGAAAUAUCCUUCAAAUCUUUUUUCUCUUUCCACAGCACAUCUGCAAUUCUGCCUUUUCUCAUUGACUUUUUCCAAAGCCUUUUAAUGUGUUCUUUUCUUUCCAGCUUAGAGAUCACAUCUCCAUAAUCUUUCAUGCUACCUUGAUCUAUGGCUUCCAUGGCGUCUGUGGCCUCCAGGGCUUCUGUGGCCUCCAUGGCCUCUAUAGCUUGUAAAAUGACCUCCUGCUCUGUUUCAGCAUAAUCCUGGGAUUUGACUGUGCUUAGAGAACUCAGUGGUAGCUCUGGCUCUAAGGUAACAUGUUGGGUUUCAACUAGCUCUGAUUUCCCGGCCUCUCUUUGUUCACCUGCAUCUUCUGAAGGCAUCAACAUGGAACUAGACAUUUCCAAUUUUGUCUUUCUGUGCUUCCUGGCAACUCUCAGGUCCUUUUUAACUGCAGAGAUAUUGGGAGAAAAACAGUUAACAGAAACACAGAGGUCUUGAGUAAGAUCCUUUGUAAAAUCUAAUUCAUUGAGCUACCAUAAGAGAUACAAAGCAGGGGGACUAAGGCUUUAUGAUAUGGAAAUGCUCGGUUUCAUCCCACCAUCCAUAUUCUAACAAAAUAAGAGCUUGGUAUUUGCUGUGGGGUAGAUCUUUCUCAGGAAUGUCACUUUCUGUGAAUAAGAUUCUCCCACUGAACUCCAUUCUCACUAGUAUCCUUUCAUAUACCUUGGCCUUACCCACCCUGCCUUUUGGGGCCCUGAGGUUGGCCCCAAACA